UACGUAGGUGGCAAGCGUUGUCCGGAUUUACUGGGCGUAAAGAGCGCGCAGGCGGUCGUCCAAGUCGCGUGUGAAAGCCCCCGGCUCAACUGGGGAGGGUCAGUGGUAACGGCAGAGCUGUGAGUGCAGGAGAGGGAAGUGGAACUCCGGGAGUAGCGGUGAAAUGCGUAGAGACCCGGAGGAACACCAGUGGCGAAGGCGGCUUCCUGGUCUGCGACUGACGCUGUGGCGCGAAAGCUAGGGGAGCGAACGGG
rnacentral:rRNA from 1 species